rnacentral:ncRNA from 1 species
CCAAGUCCCGACGCACUCCCCCCGGCGCCGGGACUCUCCCCGAGCCGGGCUUCGGCGCCCAUCCCCCCUGGGUGCCGGGCCCGGCUCCACU